UCCGAAUUGGUGUAGUGGCUAACAUUUGACGCUCUCAAGUACAUCCGUUCUGUGUGCGUGCCGUCAAGCCCGGGGUUCGAUUCCCCGAUUCGGAG
rnacentral:tRNA from 1 species